GAAUGCUGACAUAAGUAACGAUAAAGCGGGUGAAAAGCCCGCUCGCCGGAAGACCAAGGGUUCCUGUCCAACGUUAAUCGGGGCAGGGUGAGUCGACCCCUAAGGCGAGGCCGAAAGGCGUAGUCGAUGGGAAACGGGUUAAUAUUCCCGUACUUGGUGUUACUGCGAAGGGGGGACGGAGAAGGCUAUGUUGGCCGGGCGACGGUUGUCCCGGUUUAAGCGUGUAGGUGUGUGUUCCAGGUAAAUCCGGUUCACUUUAACACUGAGGCGUGACGACGAGGCACUACGGUGCUGAAGCAACAAAUGCCCUGCUUCCAGGAAAAGCCUCUAAGCAUCAGGUAACAUCAAAUCGUACCCCAAACCGACACAGGUGGUCAGGUAGAGAAUACCAAGGCGCUUGAGAGAACUCGGGUGAAGGAACUAGGCAAAAUGGUGCCGUAACUUCGGGAGAAGGCACGCUGACACGUAGGUGAAGUGAUUUACUCAUGGAGCUGAAGUCAGUCGAAGAUACCAGCUGGCUGCAACUGUUUAUUAAAAACACAGCACUGUGCAAACACGAAAGUGGACGUAUACGGUGUGACGCCUGCCCGGUGCCGGAAGGUUAAUUGAUGGGGUCAGCGCAAGCGAAGCUCCUGAUCGAAGCCCCGGUAAACGGCGGCCGUAACUAUAACGGUCCUAAGGUAGCGAAAUUCCUUGUCGGGUAAGUUCCGACCUGCACGAAUGGCGUAAUGAUGGCCAGGCUGUCUCCACCCGAGACUCAGUGAAAUUGAACUCGCUGUGAAGAUGCAGUGUACCCGCGGCAAGACGGAAAGACCCCGUGAACCUUUACUAUAGCUUGACACUGAACAUUGAGCCUUGAUGUGUAGGAUAGGUGGGAGGCUUUGAAGUGUGGACGCCAGUCUGCAUGGAGCCGACCUUGAAAUACCACCCUUUAAUGUUUGAUGUUCUAACGUGGACCCGUAAUCCGGGUUGCGGACAGUGUCUGGUGGGUAGUUUGACUGGGGCGGUCUCCUCCUAAAGAGUAACGGAGGAGCACGAAGGUUGGCUAAUCCUGGUCGGACAUCAGGAGGUUAGUGCAAUGGCAUAAGCCAGCUUGACUGCGAGCGUGACGGCGCGAGCAGGUGCGAAAGCAGGUCAUAGUGAUCCGGUGGUUCUGAAUGGAAGGGCCAUCGCUCAACGGAUAAAAGGUACUCCGGGGAUAACAGGCUGAUACCGCCCAAGAGUUCAUAUCGACGGCGGUGUUUGGCACCUCGAUGUCGGCUCAUCACAUCCUGGGGCUGAAGUAGGUCCCAAGGGUAUGGCUGUUCGCCAUUUAAAGUGGUACGCGAGCUGGGUUUAGAACGUCGUGAGACAGUUCGGUCCCUAUCUGCCGUGGGCGCUGGAGAACUGAGGGGGGCUGCUCCUAGUACGAGAGGACCGGAGUGGACGCAUCACUGGUGUUCGGGUUGUCAUGCCAAUGGCACUGCCCGGUAGCUAAAUGCGGAAGAGAUAAGUGCUGAAAGCAUCUAAGCACGAAACUUGCCCCGAG
rnacentral:rRNA from 1 species